rnacentral:rRNA from 1 species
GAGUUUGAUCGUGGCUCAGAACGAACGCUGGCGGCAUGCCUAACACAUGCAAGUCGAGCGGUAACAGGCGUAGCAAUACGUGCUGACGAGCGGCGAACGGGUGGGUAAUGCUUCGGAAUCUUCCUCGUAGUGGGGAAUAACCUGGGGAAACUCAGGCUAAUACCGCAUACGAACUACGGUUGAAAGCAGGGGAUCGCAAGACCUUGCGCUAUGAGAUGAGCCGAAGUCGGAUUAGCUAGUUGGUGAGGUAACGGCUCACCAAGGCGACGAUCCGUAGCUGGUCUGAGAGGACGACCAGCCACACUGGGACUGAGACACGGCCCAGACUCCUACGGGAGGCAGCAGUGGGGAAUAUUGGACAAUGGGGGCAACCCUGAUCCAGCGACGCCGCGUGUGUGAAGAAGGCCUGCAGGUUGUAAAGCACUUUUAGUGGGGAUGAAAAGCCGAAGGCUAAUACCUUUCGGUCUUGACCUAACCCAAAGAAAAGCACCGGCUAACUCUGUGCCAGCCGCCGCCGU